UUUUACUACAAUUUUUCAUCACCUUUUUCCUUUUGAACUCCACGAAACUUGUCAUGAGCAACGUUGGAAAUUAGACCUAGAGCGACCCUCAAACAAGCACACCAUCUGCCGCCACUUGUACUCUAUGCUGUUACCUCCUUACAUAAAAGAGGCCGCCACUCGAAAGCCAAGUUUUCCUUGGUUUUACACCUGUUGUUUCAUCUUUAUUUAUAUUUUUAAUUAAGUACUUUGAUUUAGUUGAUAUCUUAUUGUUUUCUUCUGAAUGUACACUUCCUUUAUCAGUUUUUAUUCAAGUAUGACUGUUCCUAAAUUAUCUUUCUUCCAAUAUUGAGUCAGGUUUUACCAAAUGAGCAGAAGCCACCCCACAUGUAACUGGAUCUUGAUUCAGAGAAAAAUGCUUAAUUUUGCAGACGAUAUGUCGUAAUGGGCAUUGGAUUUUUGGAUAGCUUCAGUCUUGAAUUGAUUCUGAUUCUGGUUUCCAACUCUUGGUCGUGCGACGUCGUGGAGAUUGCCAUUUUUAUGAUGGCUGAUUCUGUUGCCUUCCAAAGUCAAGUGCUUAGCUUCUCAGCUGGUCCAGUAUUUUGGCUUGUUUGAUGGGCACGGAGGAGGUUCUCAGGAGUCUCGGUUACUGUGCAAGUCAAAAAGAAAAGAGGGUUUUCAUCUUUGUGUGAGUUCCGACGCCAGACCUUCACCAACGCAGUUUCACACGCGUAGACCACCGGCUGCCGUCCUUGCCUCCUCGCGUCGACGGUCCGAGUCGCACGCACUAGGUCUCUCCUAGCCACCCGUCGCCGCGCCGUCGGAGCGCCGCGCGUCGUUGCGUGGUCACCGCCGCUCAGAUCGACGCCUCAAACUCGAGCCAGCCGCCGUUCGUCCGCUUGGUCACGCCUCCACCGUCGGCUGGACAUCGCGUCAUCGUCCACGUGCUUGUGCCGUCGUUCGCUCGUUAGCCAACGCGCUGAAGACCCAGCCGUUUGUCCGAUCACACAACAGCUCGCGCCGGUCAUCCCGUCCGUCGUCAGCUCCGCCCACUCAUCUGCCACUGCCCCUCGCGCCGCCAGGCUUCAUGGCCGCUGGUUUCGCUGGAAUCUUGAGUUUGGGAAGUUUUUUUUUUGGUGGUUUUGAUGCAAGAUUGAAGUUUUCGAGAGGCGCUGAAGCAAUUUUGGUUUAAGUUACAUUUUGGAGUUAAUUUAGGAGCCACAAUUUCGGUAAAGUUAAAUUGGAGACAUUCAGAUUAUUUGAUUAAUUGGAAUUAGAUCCCAAAAGUUUUAAUUUAAAUUUUGAAUUUAUUAUUCUAGGUCUUUUUUUCAAGGUCUUGCUUGGCAAAGAAAAGAUAAACUUGUUUGAGUCAUUUGGAUUUAAUCUUGAGGUGAGUGAUCUUGUUACUUGAAUUGUCUAUGUAAUUUAGUUUUCGUUUGAGGAUAUAAGGUUGAUUGUAUUGAAUCACAUGAGAUUAAAUAAGUUGUGAGCAUGAUGAAUGUAGUUGCAUUUUAUGAGCCUAUGUUUAUGACGUAUGUUAUAUUUAUGUUAGUGAUAGUUGCACUUACUGCCAGUUAGAUGUCCAUUAGAGGUGGUGACUUUCUUCGAGAUUUCACUAGAGGUUUGUGUUUCCUUCGGAUUCACUAGAGGUUUGUGUUUCUUCAUUAGAGGUUGUGUUUCCUACAAGAUUCCCCAGAGGUGGUUGGUGAGCUCCUUCAGGACUUCACCAUAGGUUUGCGUUUUCUUUGGAAUUCACCAUAGGUUUGUGUUUUCUUUGGAUUCAGCAGAGGUUCGUGUUUUCUUUGGGAUUCAUGGGUACUCUUAAACUACGGUAGGGUGAAUUCGGUUAGUCAUUUAUGUACGUCCCACUAGAGGAUGACAUCUAGAGGACAUAGAAAUCUAUGAUCGAGCUACUUGUUGGUUUACAGAAACACGAAGAAAACCAUUCUAAUUCCUCAAAUGUGACUUCAAA